rnacentral:misc_RNA from 1 species
AGAGAGAGAGAGAGAGAGAGAAGAAGAAGAAGAUGCAAAAAGAACAAAGUCAAUUGUUACACAAAUUACAAAUACACAGCCCAAUUCCUGUGACUUGAUUUUAAGCAUUUAUUGCAUAAUGGCACAAGACAGAGCAUCCUUGUUGAAAGUUAACCUUAUAUUGGUUUUCUAUAUCAUAUCUGUCAGCACUUUGCACUGGUAUAACUAUUUAUCUUGACUAAAGAAGAAAUUAGCUAAAUAGACGGAGGGUGACUGUGUUUUUCUAUGUGUCUAGUGAUCAUUUAGUUUCCAUCCGCAAUGCUUUAGUUGAGAAUUUUUGUAAGUUUAUAGCUUUUGCUUACAGUUAGUAAAGGUUAAAUGAGAGUAAUAUUUGCUCAGUUAGUUCAUGUCAGCAAUUCAUCAGUUAGCAAGGUGCAGAGAUCUAAAGGCUGAAUCAUUCUUUCGUUCUUUCUUGUUUAACCAAGUCAUUUUGGCUGGGACA